rnacentral:hammerhead_ribozyme from 1 species
AUCCAGCUGACGAGUCCCAAAUAGGACGGAAAUGCGAGUCCUGGAU